UACAGAGGUGGCAAGCGUUGUUCGGAAUUACUGGGCGUAAAGGGCGCGUAGGCGGCCUUCUAAGUCAGACGUGAAAUCCCCCGGCUUAACCUGGGAACUGCGUCUGAUACUGGGAGGCUUGAGUAUGGGAGAGGGAUGUAGAAUUCCAGGUGUAGCGGUGAAAUGCGCAGAUAUCGGGAAGAACACCCGUGGCGAAGGCGGCUCUCUGGGACGGUACUGACGCUGAGACGCGAAAGCGUGGGGAGCGAACAGG
rnacentral:rRNA from 1 species